CCGUAGGUGAACCUGCGGAAGGAUCAUUAUCGAGUUUGAAAGGGGUUUGCAGCUGACUCUCCGGAGUAUGUGCUCGCCUCGCUCAUCCACUCUACACCUGUGCACUAUCUGUGGGCUUCGGCCUACGUCUCUACACAAACAAUAUGUAUCAGAAUGUAACACCGCGUCUAACGCAAUAAUACAACUUUCAACAACGGAUCUCUUGGCUCUCGCAUCGAUGAAGAACGCAGCGAAAUGCGAUAAGUAAUGUGAAUUGCAGAAUUCAGUGAAUCAUCGAAUCUUUGAACGCACCUUGCGCUCCUUGGUAUUCCGAGGAGCAUGCCUGUUUGAGCGUCGUGAAUCUCUCAACCCACAGAUUGUUUGUUCAGUUUGUGCGGCUUGGACUUGGAGGCAUUGCUGGCGAUGGUCAGCUCCUCUCAAAUGUAUUAGCUGGGCUUAGCUCGGUGGAACGGUUAGUGUGAUAAUUAUCUGCGCUGCCUACUACAUCGGAUCCCGCUUCUAAUCGUCCGCAAGGACAAUUCACUUUGAAUCUGACCUCAAAUCAGGUAGGACUACCCGCUGAAC
rnacentral:rRNA from 1 species